UUCUUAGUUUGUGGCCUUGUCCAACAUCUUCAAAGCCAGCAACAUCAGGCUGAGUCCUUUUCAUGCUGCGAUCUCUCUGGUUUUCUCUUUUGUCUUCCUCUUCCACUUGUAAGGACCCUUGUGAUUACACUGCACCCAGGUGGAUAAACCAAGAUAACCUCCCUAUUUUAAGGUCAGCUGAUAAGCAAACAAUUUCACCUGCAACCUUAAUUCUCCUUUGCCAUAUUUGCAAACUGUGGGGAUUAGGAUGGGACAUGUUUUGGAGGGGGCAUUGAGCCACAUUACUCUGCCUACCACAUAUAUUAGCUGAAAGCUUUUUUUUUUUUUUCUUUUUUUGAGACAGAGUUUCGCUCUUGUUGCCCAGGCUGGAGUGCAGUGGCACAAUCUCGGCUCACUUGCAACUUCCAUCUCCUGGGUUCAGGUGAUUCUCCUGCCUCAGCCUCCCAAGUAACUGGGAUUACAGGCAUGCACCACCAUGCCCAGCUAAUUUUGUAUUUUUAGUAGAGACGGGGUUUCACCAUGUUGGUUGGACUGGUCUCAAACUCCUGACCUCAUGAUCUGCCUGCCUUGGCCUCCCAAAGUGAUGAGACUGCCCGGCCUAAGAUUUCUUAAUAGAAACUUUAAAGUAAAAAUAUUAAUGGCUAUAUUCAAAAGUUCUACUUCCUAAAUUGAAAGAAAAAUUAAUAAAUCCUUGAGAUUACUAGAAAACCCUUACAGUAAAUGAGCAUUUAUGACUUGUACCCAAAUAAAUACUAUAGGUAAUAGACACUAACUUAUUACUUAAGAAAAAGUACAAUAAUCACACUUGUAUAUUUUGACUGGUUGUUGAUGUUCCUUGGUCUUCAUCAGUAAUACAAAUGUGGUCAUUAGAUGUAGUAGAAAUAUUCUCCAAGCCCUCCCUUAAUUCUUCAGAUUUCUGCAUACUUAUCCCCUCUCUUUCUCUUGACUUUCUAGAGUCCUUAGAGGUACUGGAGGCCUCUUCUGUUUUUUCUUCCCCUUUGAAAGUAGCGAGUUUUUCUAAGUAUUCUACUACUUCAUCUCUCAACUCAUCUUCAGAUUCUUCAAAAUUUCUGAAAUAAUAAGCAGUAAAAAUCAGCAUUAUGAUAUGAAAGUACUGAAGAAUACAUGUAAAAACUCGUUUCCCUUUUCUCCAUCCCCAGUUGAGCAAUAUAAAAGUUGCAUUUUCACCUAGGUUUUUCUAAGCAUGAUAAACAGCUAAUGUUGGGAGAAUCAGUCUUCUGUUGAGUUUUACAUUGUGUUAAACACCCUUUAUUAUAUUUAUUAAUGUCCAUCAUCUAAUGUUUAAGAGGAGAGGAAGAGAGAAUUAAAAAAAAAGAAAAAAACAAUUGCCGUACAUCGAGCUCUUACUAUAUGUCCAUCAAUAUCCUAGGGUACUUAUACCAUAUUCCACUUAAUACUAACAACAUUUUGAGGUAGACAUUAUCAUCAAAUUAUAAAUAAAGAAGCUAAGGCUCAGAGAGGUUAAAAAAUGUGGCCGGGCGCGGUGGCUCACGCCUGUAAUCCCAGCACUUUGGGAGGCCGAGGCGGGCGGAUCACGAGGUCAGGAGAUCGAGACCAUCCUGGCUAACACGGUGAAACCCCGUCUCUACUAAAAAUACAAAAAAUUAGCCGGGCGUGGUACCGGGCGCCUGUAGUCCCAGCUACUCGGGAGGCUGAGGCAGGAGAAUGGCAUGAACCUGGGAGGCGGAGCUUGCAGUGAGCCGAGAUCGCGCCACUGCACUCCAGCCUGGGCGACAGAGCGAGACUCCGUCUCAAAAAAAAAAAAUGUGUUGAAGGUCUCACAGCUACUAAUUCAUAGAACCAGGAAUUAAAAUUGUGUCUAAGACUGCAACAUUGGUAUUUUUAGAAAGGAAAGGGAAUAGAUCAAUAAGACAAUCUGCACCAACCUAAAUUAAACCUAAAAGUAACUGCACCAACCUAAUAUUUAAGUAGCAAGUAUGAGGUCAGGAGUUUGAGACCAGCCUGGCCAACAUGGCAAAACCCCUUCUCUACUAAAAAUACAAAAAAUUAGGCAUGGUGGCGCACACUUGUAGUUCCAGCUACUCAGGAGGCUGAGACAGGAGAAUCACUUGAAUGCAGGAGGCGGAGGUUGCAGUGAGCCGAGAUCGCACCACUGCACUCCAGCCUGGGAGACAGAGCGAGACUCCAUCUCAAAACAAAACGGAACAAAAAAAGUGGCAAGUGGAGGAGAUUGAGAAAGAGCUGAUAAGAGCCAAGAAGAUGUGUAUCGUGGAAGCCAAAGGAGUAGCCAAAUAGGAUGAGGACUGAGAAAUGAUUACCUGACUUGCCAAUUUCAAGGUAAUAGAUGACUGUUGAAAGAAUAUUUCAGAUGAGUGCCGUGCAGCAGGAGCCAAUGUACAGUGGGUCCAGAAAGCAAUGGAGAUUAACAAAGUGGUGACAGGUGGGGACUACAGGUGAGCACCACUAUGCCCAGGUUUUUUAUUUUUAGCAGCUAGGAGGUCUCACUGUGUUACCCAGGCUGGUCAUAAACUACUGUGUUCAAACAAUCCUCUCACCUCAGCCUCCCAAAGUGCUGGGAGAGCUACUCAGGAGGCUGAUGCAGGAGGAUUGCUUGAGCCCAGGAGUUUACAGUUGUAAUGAGCUAUGAUCAUGCCACUGCACUCCAGCCUAGGCAUCAGAGCAAGACACUCAUCUGAAAAAAAAAAAAAAAAAAAAGUGGUGACAAUGAAUUUAAACUCCUCUUUCAGCGAGCCUAACUCCGAAAGGAAUGGUAUUAUUUAGAGAACAUGGGGGCAAUGGUUUUUGGUUAUUGUUUUUAAUGGGAGAGAGUUGGGCAUGUUUAUAUGCUGAGGAAAGGAGGUAGUAGAUAUUCAAAACAGGAGACAGGUGGAAUAACCAAUAGGAGCCAGGUCACUGAAAAGAGGCUGGGUUUUAGAGCACCUGCAGAGCAUGGGCUUUCAGCAGGAAGAGGGACAGUUUUUCCUAAGAAAAAGAAGAUAGGGAGAGAGAAGGAGAGAAGGACUCAUGGAUAUAGAGAAGUUAUGGAGCUAGAAAACUGAUUCUGCAGAACGCGUACUAUCUCUGUGAAGGAGGAGGCACAGUCACACGAUGAGUGUGUGUGGAUGGGAGUGAGCUGAGGGAUGAGGGUUUGGAAUCACUGAUACACUGGGAAGGAAGCUGACCAGGCUUAGGAUUGCCAGUCAUCAUGGAGGACCCCACUAAAACUGGAGACCAUAAAUUUGGGUGGACCAGUAAGUGCAACUCCCACUUACUGUUACCAUUCCUGAGAUAUGUGCUUUACACAGAUCUUUCCUUUGUCUUUGUUCCUCUACUAAACUAUGCUGUGUCUAGGUAUAAAUUUAUUUUCGUUGUUGCUGCUUGAUAAUUGUUUUAUUUCCCAGAUAUGAUGAUUACUGGCUUCAAAUAAUUAUAGAAAGUUCACAGCUGGAAUUGAUUUGCAUAUUGUUUUCUCAUAUUCUUUUCUUCUGGAACUCCUUUUCAUAUACAUUUGACUUCAUGCCUCUUAACUUCUCUGUCACAUUUUCCAUCAUGUUUUUACUUAGACCUAUCUUCCAGUUACUAACUCCUUUAUUAUCUGCACCUAUUCUGUUUUUUAAACCAUCAGUCGAAUUUUAAUUUCUAUUCAUAGAUUUUUUUCAACUUCCAGAAGUUCUAGUGAAUUAUAAAAAUUUUUGCUAUGGUCUGAAUGUUUGUGCCCCUGUUCCCAAUUCAUGUGUUGAAACCUAAUCCUCAAUGUGAUAGUAUUAAGGGGUGGAGCCUUUAGGAGGUGAUGAGGUCAUGAGAGCACAGCCCUCAUGAGUGGGAUCAGUGCCCUUAUAAAAGAAGCCCAAGGAAGCUUGUAUGCUCCUUCCACCAAGUGAGGACACAGCUAGCAGGUGCUGUGUAUGGAGCCAAAAGCUAGCCCUUACCAGACACCAAAUCUACUGGCACUUUUUUUUUUUUUUUUUUUUUGAGAGAAAUCUCACUUUUGUCCCCCAGGCUUGAGUGCAAUGGCUCAACCUCGGCUCACUGCAACCUCCGCCUCCCAGGUUCAAAUGAUUCUCCCGCCUCUACCUCCCAAGUAGCUGGGAUUAAGGCACCUGCCACCAUGCCCAGCUAAUUUUUCUAUUUUUUAGUAGAGACGGGGUUUCACCAUGUUGGCCAGGCUGGUUUUGAACUCCUGACCUCAGAUGAUCCGCCCACCUCAGCCUCCCAAAGUGCUGGGAUUACAGGCGUGAGCCACUGCACCCAGCCUCUACUGGCACCUUGAUCUUGGACUUCCUAGCCUCUAGAACUAGAAGAAGUAUAUUUCUGAUAUUUUUGUUAACUCAUCUAAGGUAUUGUGUUAGAGUAGCCCAAACAGGCUAAGAGAAACUUCCUGCUCUUUACCGAGGGACUAUAUUUUUCUUAUGUUUGGAUUCCUGAAUUUAAUUAAAUUAAAUAAUUUUAAAUAUACAGUAUUAUAGUCUUCCUAAGAUAAUUAUAUUAUCUGAAAUUCUUUAUGAUCUAAUCAGCAUUUGUUCUAUUUGCAAUCUCUCAUAGUGGAUUCUGUUUUUAAAUGUUCAAUUGUAAGUUCAUCUUCACCAGUGCUUCAGUGAAAAAAUCCAACAUUUAUCCCUCCAGAAUGUCUUAUAUUUACUUCUAAAAAUCCCAGGAGUAUUACCACCCCUUAAUGUUAAUUUUAGUGUUAAUUUCUCAACAUAGAUGUUUCCAGCCCAUACAAGUAUUGUAAUUCAAGCUCCAAACACAAGUGAAGUCAAAUCUAUGGUUAUAAAUGUCUUAGGGAGAAUUUUUCUUCCAGAGAUUGGGCUAAAACAGACAAGCCACAUUACUGGUAUUUUUUUUCUAGACCACACUUGCUCUUCAAGGGUCCCAGCUAGCAAGAAUGGAGGGGGACCUAAGGAAGAAGACCCUAUUAGAUAUUUAGGAGGUAUACAGGAAGAGGCAGGAAAGGAAGAAAAAGCAAUUUUAAACCCUCCAAAACAAAAUGAGCCCACAAACUAAAAUUCUAACACCUGAAUAAAUCUAAUGGUAAGACAGAUGGCAUAAAAUUAAUAAAAGAAAAAAAUUGGACCAUGAACUAACUCCAGAUGAAAUUAUUUUUUAUGGAGGAUUUUGAUAAGUCUCCUAAAGUAAGUAUGCCCAAAAAGAUAAACUAAAGCAAAGCAUUUAAAUUUUUUAAUUAUGAGAAAUCAUUAUGCAUUAAUGAAACAAGACCAUAUAAAUAUAAGAAAAAAUAAUUAUCUUGGGCAUGAAAUAUAUAAUCAUUUAAAUUAAAAACUCAAUAGAUGGUACCCAGAUAGGCUUAGAAAACAGUAUUCAAGGAUUCAUCCACGCCUGUAAUCCCAGCACUUUGGGAGGCUGAGGCAGGUGAAUUGCCUGAGGUCAGGAGUUCGAGACCAGCCUGGCCAACAUGGUGAAACCCCAUCUCUGCUAAAAAUACAAAAAUUAGCUGGGCGUGGUGGCACAAGCCUGUAAUCCCAGCUACUCAGGAGGCUGAGGCAGUAGAAUUGCUUGAACCCAGGAGGCGGAGGUUGCAGUGAGCCGAGAUCACACCACUGCACUCCAGCCUGGGCAACAAGAGCGAAACUCUGUCUCAAAAAAAAAAAAAAAAAAAAAAAAAUUCACCUGGAAAGGAACAAAGAAGAGAAUAAAAAAUAUGAAAGUACAAUUAGGUACUACUGGAGAUAAUUGAGAAGAUAAAAAAUAUAUCUAAUAUCUAAUUGGAGAAUCAAAAUGGAUGCAAUAAGAAAAGCAAAUAUUAAAAUUUUCCAGAACUAAAGAAAGUCAUGUGUUCUCAAAAGAAAGUGAAGCAAGCAGGAUAAAAGACAUUUUUAGACCUAGACAUACCAUAGUGAAACAUAAGAAUGUAAGGAAUUAAAAAAAUUAUAAAAGUAUCAGGGAGAAAGUUAGCAUCCCUAUAAAGGAAAAAUAAUGAGAUGAUAGUUGAUUUGUCAUCAACAAUAAUAGAAGCCAGGAGAAAAAAUAGUUGUCAACCUAAAAUUAUAUGCCCAGCAAAAUUACUGCUGAAGACUCAAGUCAAAACAAAAACAAUCUUUGAUAUGAAAAGAAUAAGAAAGUUUACUACUCACUGACAUAUCAUAAAUAAUUACUAAAGAAUAUACAUCAACAAGAAAAAAACUGAAAUCAGAGGGAAAGCACGGGAUAGGAAAAAAAUGGCAAGUUCAGAAAAAUGAUAAACUAAAUUGGCAAAGUGAGUUACAUUUGAGAAUAUGUAUAUAUUAAUACAUAUAAUAAUAUAUAUAAUAUUUUUGUUUGAAAAAAGGUAAAAUUGGAUGAAAUGAUUUGAUAUCUGAGACUUAAAGUAUUCCACACUUACAAAAAAAAAAGUGUGGGGGACAUGAAGACAGAAAAGAAACAAUGUUGAUAAUUGUUGAAGCUAGAUGAUGGAUACAUGAGGGUUCAUUAUGCUGUUCUCUACUUGCACUAUAAAUGUUUGAAAUUUUUAAUAAUAAAAAAGCUUUUUAAGUAAAAUUAUACUUCUAUAUUAAAAUAUCAGAAUAAAAGGGUUUUGUGGUGAUUAAAAUUGUGUUUUUCAUAUUUGGGAGGAAGGAAGGAAUACUGAGCAACUUUUGAAUUUGUUAGAUCAAUUUGUAGGUAGUGUAUAAAAGCUAACCAUUAAAAGAUUAGAAAUAUAAUCUGUAUCUUCAAAAUUAUUAUGGGGGGAAAAUUAAUAUAGAAAAGUUUGUCAACCAACAAAAGGCUAGGAAAGAAGGGUAAAAAAGAAAUAAGAAAAGAUAAUAAAUAGAAAACCAAAAUGGUAUGGUAGAGUGAAAUCCAAAUUUGUCAACAUUAUAAUAAAUUUUACUAAAUUAACAUUAAAAGACAUUUUCACAUGACAAGGAGCACAUAAACCAACUACAUGCACUUUAUAAGAAAUACAGCAUAACAAAAUCACAAAGAAAUGAUGAAAAUAAAAGAAUAGAAAAAUACAUAUUAUAAAAGUACUUAAAAAAAUAAAGAAGUUAGAAUAGUAAUAUCUGUAUCAGACCAAAUAGAACUUAAUGCAAACAGCAUUAAUAGGAAAAAAAAGUGACAAUGUAAAAAAGGGACACUUUACUUUUUAAAGGACACUUUAAAAAAAAUCAAUUUUUAAAGUGAUUAAGGCCGGGUACAGUGGAUCAUGCCUGUAAUCCCAGCACUUUGGGAGGCUGAGGUGGGUGAAUCACAAGGUCAGGAGUUCAAGACCAGCCUGGCCAAGAUGGUGAAACCCUGUCUCUACUAAAAAUACAAAAAUUAGCCAGGCAUGGUGGCAGGUACCUGUAAUCCCAGCUACUCGGGAGGCUGAGGCAGAGAAUUGGCUUGAACCCCGGAGGCAGAGGUUGCAGUGAGCCGAGAUCACACCACUGCACUCCAACCUGGGUGACAGAGCAAGACUCCAUCUCAAAAAAAAAAAAAAAGAAAGAAAAAGAAAAAGAAAAGAAAAAAAAGUGCUUAAAAAAAUACAUUAGUCAGAAAUUUCCAACUUGAAUCAUACCAUUAAGAAAAUGAACACAAAUACCCAGAUGGUGAGAAAAUGUUAGCAAAGCAGAUAUCUGACAAAGAACUAGUAGCAAAGAUAUAUAAAUAAUUUUAAAAUUAUAAAGACACCACUUCACACCUAGUAGAUGGGUUAAAAAUGUUAAAACUGACCAUACCAAGUGUUGGUAAGGAUGUUGAACAACUGGAACUCUUACACACUGUUCACAGGAAUGUGAAAUAGAAUAACCACUUUGGAAAACAGUAAGUUAAACAUUUACCAACUGUGAUGGUUUAUACAGAGUGUCAACUUGAUUGGAUUGAAGGAUUCAAAGUAUUGAUCCUGGGUGUGUCUGUGAGGGUGUUGCCAAAGGAGAUUAACAUUUGAGUCAGUGGGCUGGGAAAGGCAGACUCACCCUUAAUCUGAGUGGGCGCAAUCUAUUCGGCUGCCAGCACGGCUAGAAUGUAAGCAGGCAGAAAAAUGUGAAAAGAGAGACUGGCCUAGCUUCGCAGCCUACAGCUUUCUCCUAUGCUGGAUGCUUCCUGCCCUCGAACAUCAGACUCCAAGUUCUUCGGUUUUGAAUUUGGACUGGCUCUCCUCUCUCCUCAGCCUGCAGAUGGCCUAUUGUGGGACCCUGUGAUUGUGUGAGUUAUACUUAAUAAACUCCCCUUUAUAUUCCAUUACUUCUGUCGCUCUAGAGAACCCUAGUACACCAACCAUACAACUCCGCCAUUCCACUCCUAGGUGUUUGCCCACAAGAAAUGAAAACUUAGGUUCACAUACAGAAUAUACACAAAUAUUCAUAGCCAAAUGAAAACUUAGGUUCACAUACAGAAUAUACACAAAUAUUCAUAGCCCAAAUCUGGAAACAACAUAAACGUCCCCAACAGGUGAAUCUACAAACAAAUUGUGGUAUAUCUACACAAUGGGAUACUACUGAGCAAUAUAAAGUAAAUGAACUAUCAAUAUAUACAACAACAUGAAUAAGUCUCAAAAUUAUUCUCAAACAGUAGGGUUUCUAGGCAAUUUAAGGGUGUUGUUUCUCUGUAGUCUAAGCCAAAGCCCAAGAUAGAGAAGGGC
rnacentral:lncRNA from 1 species